rnacentral:rRNA from 1 species
AGACAGAGGGUGCAAACGUUGUUCGGAAUUACUGGGCGUAAAGCGCGUGUAGGCGGUCUAGCAAGUCGGAUGUGAAAGCCCUUGGCUCAACUGAGGAAGUGCAUUCGAAACUGCAAGACUUGAGUCCCGGAGAGGAUGGUGGAAUUCUCGGUGUAGAGGUGAAAUUCGUAGAUAUCGAGAGGAACACCGGUGGCGAAGGCGGCCAUCUGGACGGUGACUGACGCUGAGACGCGAAAGCAUGGAGAGC